AUAAAAGACAGAGUCAUCAGUUGCUUUUUUAAUAAUCUCCACCACGUUAGGAUCAUGGUAAUCAACCGUGAAAUCGGCACCUAGCUUCUUAAUCCAGUCAAAGUUAUGAGGCGAACAAGUAGCAAUUACCUUAUAACCAGCGUGAUGCGCAAGUUGAACCACGUAUUGCCCUACGCUAGAUGACCCGCUCCAUACUAAAACCCAUUUUUGUUGAGCGGAAUUCUUGGAUCCAUCCGUGGGAGGCAAGGGAAGACCAAGGUACUGAUUAAGUCCUUGCGAAGCAGUAGUAAACGUUAGAGGAAGCGUAGCGGCUUGUGAAGGUGUAAUAUUCUUGGGAACAAAGUACACCAAAUUUACAUCAAGAGUGAUGUAUUCACGCCAAGCAGCAUUAGAACCGUCUAAAGGACCAGGAGCCCACCCACUAACAGUGGCACCGAUAUAUUUCGAUCUGUCGACGCCUUCUCCAACAUCUUCCACAACAGCCACGAAGUCGGUUCCGCCAACGGUGCCUUUUUCAAUCGACGCAUUGUAGAGUGUUUUCCAAUCGAUAGGAUUGAACGCGACACGAAUAACUCGACCUAAAAACUCGCCCUUUUCAGGAGUUGGUUUAGGGGCAUCUGAUAUAACCUCUACGCCGUUUUGACCAUCUGCUAUCACUGCCUUCAUGUUUUAUACGAUUUUAAUUUAAAUUCGUUAAAUUUUUAGACUUAGUAGAAAUAAAAAAAGAGAGUUACCAACUUUCCCGAUCAGUACUUCGAAUUUUGACAAAAAGGUAGACCAAGAAAAUUAAAAGAUUAUAGAAGAGUU